AGUUGGGGAUUGCAGCCAGGCUGCCUCUGCUUCGUGGGAUUAGCAUGUGCUUUUGUUGUGUUUUGUUAUCUAAGAAUUUAGGUGUAUUGUUAGCCCCACAGAGCUGCCUUUGGGGGGGGGCGUAACUGAGGGAAGCAAUAAAACAUUGAAGAAAACAAACACGAAGCAAGCGAAAACAAAAUCACAGGACUUUACGCAGAAGAGAAGAGAUACUUCAAAGAUCAAAAACAGUCUGGUCGUUGCAACCCUACUUCACCCCAGUCACCUCCAGUCCAUCUCAUCAGUAUCCAGCUCCUCAGCUGAUCAUGCAUCCUUCUCCAGUGUCUAGACUCCGUAGAGGGGUAGCCUAUCCUGCUGUAAGCCUCACCACCCCUUUGAGUACACAAUGACAACACAAUGGAGUUUAAUCACCAAAGACUUUGCACAGUUUGCAUAUUUUCAAAACUUGUUAAAUACACAAUUGUUCACUCAUAAUGAAGUCUCUGAAAACUUGAAACAAAGGCAAUAAAAAAAAGUCAGAGGUUAUGUUUUUCUGCUAUUAAAUAAA